CGCGCCCGCCGCCCUCGCCACCGCCACCGCCACCGCAGCAACCCAGAGCGGACAUUCUACCGCCGGCCACCGCCAACGUCGCCGGGCUCUUCGGUGGCCACCACUGGUUUCGUUCGGCAUGGCUACGCCGCCUCCCAAGGGGAAAAGGAUGAAGAGGAGGGAUGGUUAUGGUUGUGGUGGUGGCGGUGGCGGUGGAGUCGAGCUCCACCUUGCAGUUGGAGCUCUACUUGAUUUUUCUAGUUUCUAAAAUUUGCUCUUCUUUUACUGUAUAAAUCGAGGGAGCAAGACGAGGGGAGGUAAAUGAGAUAACAUAUGGAUGUUUUCAGAGAGAACAAAGAUUUUGUUUAUGGGUUCACCGAUGCUCUUGGCGCCUAUUGAUUUAGUGAAGUAACGUUCAAGUGCUUUCAGAACCUAUCUUAGAUGGGAGUAGUGUAUAGUUGGUCAUUACCAUGGAUACAAGGCUGAAAAACAUAUAUUGUUUUGGGUAGACUGAAUUUGUGAGGAUGGCUGUGCAGCUCAAUGCCACAAUUGUGCCCUUUGGAGUCAUCGGAGAGAGCGAACUCAUAGUACUUUAUGACACUUGGCAAAAAGUGGGGCAAUGAAAUCAGUUAACAAGCAGCGGCGCUACACAAUUAAAUUGAGUAGUCAUACUCUCUGCUCAUGGGAGAUUCUGAUUUUGUGUUUUGCCUUCUCUAUUGAUCUAUUUGAAAAUGCAACACCUAGUUUUUUUGGUAGAGUGGAGAAUUUUUGUUGGUUUGAACUUGAUUUGCUCCAUCCAAAUCUGCUGUAAGGCAAGGAUAACAAUACUAUAUGACUUAUCAGCUAUCUGAUUCUUUUUCUUAGUUAUUAGUCAUCUGCACUUGCACAACAUGUACACUAA